UACAGAGGUCUCAAGCGUUGUUCGGAUUCAUUGGGCGUAAAGGGUGCGUAGGCGGCGCGGUAAGUCGGGUGUGAAAUCUCGGAGCUUAACUCCGAAACUGCAUUCGAUACUGCCGUGCUUGAGGACUGGAGAGGAGACUGGAAUUUACGGUGUAGCGGUGAAAUGCGUAGAUAUCGUAAGGAAGACCAGUGGCGGAAGGCGGGUCUCUGGACAGUUCCUGACGCUGAGGCACGAAGGCCGGGGAGCAAACGGG
rnacentral:rRNA from 1 species